UGGGGUGUCGCCAAGUGGUUAAGGCAGCGGUUUUUGGGGCCGCUAUACGAAGGUUCGAAUCCUUCCACCCCAAC
rnacentral:tRNA from 1 species